AAAGGAGAAGGGGAAUGCUUACCUAUUCCUCGAUCAGUUCAGUGUUGACUUAUAGUGUGGUCCAGUGCAAUGCGGAAUGUGAUAUCCGUGCCAUCACACUAUUGUAAAAGCCGUAGAUAUACUUUGAUCAAUUUUAAGCUACGCAUUCAAAUAGUAACUUAAUUUUUGCUCUCUUAAUUGUUAAAUCAUCAUUACUAAAUAUUUGAGCAGGCUCUUGAGAACAUCUGCACCUUAACAUUAUUAAAAAGUAUAUGUAAACAAAUUAUUAUUACUACGGUUGACUGAUUAAAAGAAAACCACAUCAUAAAUUCAUACGAGUCCUUUGAAUUUAUCUUUUUUGUACACAGUACCAAGCUCAUUUCAAGACUUCAAGCCUUUGAUUUCUAAGUUCUUAAAAGGUGAAAGAGUUAUAAUAGUCAAAUAAACCAGUGGAACAUUUAAUUAUCAUGAGCUAUUAGUGUUCUUAUUUCAUCUUUUUCGGAAGAAAAAGAGAGCAAAAAAUGAAAAAAAGUUGUCCAGCAUCAGACAAAUUUGUUACUCUGCCUAGUGUUAACAAAAUAUAUAGAAGAUAGACCGCAGUAAAGCGAGACAAAGAAAUUAAAUGAAAUAUAAAGAUUAUUUUUUUUAAACAUUUGUCCAGCUUGCAUAGCUUCGCCUUGACAAAAUUUUCUGGCUCAUUUAUCUUUUAGAUUUUCGUUUUUUACUUUCCCAUUCAUGCCAACUUCCUUGCAUGUUUUUCAAACUAAACACAUAAGUUAGAUAAAUAUCAUUCAACGAUAAAUUUUAUACUUACAUGACUGCUGGCUCUGGAGGUGGGCUCUCAGAAGUGAAAUACUCAUGCAUCAAGGUCUCAUGAGCUGACGGUCUACAAAAGGGAUUUAGGGCAAGGAGUUUUUGGCAUAGGUCAAUGGCGGCAGGACUUAAAAUCUCCUUAAAAGUUUCAACAAAACGCGACUUCUUUUCCUCUACUGGCUUCAGAAGCUCAUACCAAGGAAGAUUUUUCACCUCAGGCCAAGAAUGAACAUCAGGGGUACCCAUCAUAUCAUAGAUAACCUCUAACUGACUGAUUUCGUCUCGCCCUUGAAAAAAAGGUUUUCCUGUAAACAACUCCAUAACAAUACAGCCAGCACUCCAUAUGUCCACGGCUGUGUCAUAUGCAGUUUCUCCAAGUAAUAGCUCUGGAGGUCGAAACCAAAGGGUAAUAACGCGAUUAGUGUAGUUAGCCGACUUCGAAGAUGUAUUAAAUCUCGCCAGACCAAAAUCUGCGAAUUUUAGAUCACCAUUGUUAUUCAGUAAUAUAUUAGAACCUUUAAUGUCACGAUGAAGCACCCCACGAUGAUGAAGAUAAGCUAAUGCUUCAAAAAUUUGCUUCGAAAGGUGUUUUAUGUUACCGGGAGUAAAAUGUAAUUGUGAAUUUAGUAAGACUCCAGUUAAAUCGUGAUCCAUGUACUCAAAUACCAUAUAUACAGAACCUAGAAUUUUAAAAUGUUAGAACUAGUUAUAAUUAAACGGUGAAUGAGGAC